rnacentral:lncRNA from 1 species
AUUUAUACCCGUAUAAUUAAAAGGAUAAAAUAUAACCUUGCGUUCGAGUUUUGGUCAACGUUUCAUAACGUCAUUAGCUAAAUCAUUAUCCUUUUGAUACAGAAAAUGACAGACGAUUAAACAAUUUCAAUAUAAAAGCAUAAGACAAAAAAUAAGAUAAAAUUGACUGAGAUUCCAAAUUCACAAUUUGAAAGGCAGGGAAAAUAUGUAUUAUUGCUAAAUUUUCUUCUAUCUAAUUUACAUUGUUUUAUCCAUUAGAUUUGUUUACAAAUCAAGUCCGAC